GCCGCCACCAGGGGGGGGGGGGGGAAUGGAGCCGGUGUCCGUCACAGUGGGCACCACGAGUUUCGACGAGCUGGUGGAGGAGAUCUCCUUCGAGAGGGCUGUGAGGAUUUUUAAAGACCU